rnacentral:rRNA from 1 species
CAGUAGCCGCGGGAAUACGUAGGGUGCGAGCGUUAAUCGGAAUUACUGGGCGUAAAGCGUGCGCAGGCGGUUCGUUAAGACAGAUGUGAAAUCCCCGGGCUUAACCUGGGAACUGCAUUUGUGACUGGCGAGCUAGAGUAUGGCAGAGGGGGGUAGAAUUCCACGUGUAGCAGUGGAAUGCGUAGAGAUGUGGAGGAAUACCGAUGGCGAAGGCAGCCCCCUGGGCCAAUACUGACGCUCAUGCACGAAAGCGUGGGGAGCAAACAGGAUUAGAUACCCGGGUAGUCCCUGUCUCUUAUAC